AGUGAACGCUGGCGGUAGGCCUAACACAUGCAAGUCGAACGGCAGCACAGUAAGAGCUUGCUCUUACGGGUGGCGAGUGGCGGACGGGUGAGGAAUACAUCGGAAUCUACUUUUUCGUGGGGGAUAACGUAGGGAAACUUACGCUAAUACCGCAUACGACCUACGGGUGAAAGCAGGGGAUCUUCGGACCUUGCGCGAUUGAAUGAGCCGAUGUCGGAUUAGCUAGUUGGCGGGGUAAAGGCCCACCAAGGCGACGAUCCGUAGCUGGUCUGAGAGGAUGAUCAGCCUCACUGGAACUGAGACACGGUCCAGACUCCUACGGGAGGCAGCAGUGGGGAAUAUUGGACAAUGGGCGCAAGCCUGAUCCGGCCAUACCGCGUGGGUGAAGAAGGCCUUCGGGUUGUAAAGCCCUUUUGUUGGGAAAGAAAAGCAGCAGGUUAAUACCCCGCUGUUCUGACGGUACCCAAAGAAUAAGCACCGGCUAACUUCGUG
rnacentral:rRNA from 1 species